UACGUAGGGGGCAAGCGUUGUCCGGAAUCAUUGGGCGUAAAGAGCGUGUAGGCGGCCCGGUCAGUCGGUUGUGAAAGUCAGGGGCUCAACCCUUGAAUGCCGACCGAUACUGCCGGGCUAGAGUCCGGAAGAGGCGAGUGGAAUUCCUGGUGUAGCGGUGAAAUGCGCAGAUAUCAGGAGGAACACCAACGGCGAAGGCAGCUCGCUGGGACGGUACUGACGCUGAGACGCGAAAGCGUGGGGAGCAAACAGG
rnacentral:rRNA from 1 species